AUACAUAGCUAUCAUGUCUCCUCUCAGCCUUCUCUUCUGCAGCCUAAACAUGCCUAUUUCUUUAAGCCUCUCCUCAUAGGGCUUGUUCUCCAGACCCUUAAUCAUUUUAGUUGCCCUCCUCUGGACGCUUUCCAGCUUGUCAACAUCUCCCUUCAAUUGGGUGCCCAGCUAUUGGACAUUCCCUUUAGACUCUCCCCGGAUGAUCCCGUGAGCUGAGUUGGCUCUUAAUACUUCUAGUUCCCGGACAAGCGUUUAAUGGCUUGAGAAAAAAACUAGUGAGGUGUUAACAAACCAACAAGAUAUUAACGAGGUGAAAGGAUAUAUCGUCGAAAGGAUAUAUCGUUGUCUCCAACAGCUUUGGAUUCCGGUGAAUCUCAGAAGUGAUGCUCCAUUUGUGAGUAUAGUUUGGAAGGGACCCCCAAAGACCAUCUAGUCCAACCCUCUUCUGUCGUAAAGACACAAUCUGAUCCCUCCUGAUAGAUGAUCAUCCAACCUUGGCUGAAAGAGCACCAAAGGAGGAGAGGCCUCCCAUUAAAAACUUCCAGAGAAGAAGACUCCUUCAGAUUACAAGGUGAUCUAUACUAUGCUAGAGUUAGAAGGGAGCUCCAAAGGUCAUCCAGUCAAACCUGCUGUAAAGAAAAACACGAUCUAAUGCCUCCCAACAGAUGGCCAUCCAGCCAUUCUCUUCUCAAAGACUUCCAGAGGAGACUCCCUCAGAUUACAUGGUAAUCUACAUUACAUUAGAGUUGGAAGGGACCCCCAAAGGCCAUCACAUCCAACCCCUUUUCUUCCAUUAAAACACAAUCUGAUCUCUCUCUUUAAAUGAACAGGCCCAAUAGAGCUGUUAUUAGAAUACUUCUUUCUGUUUUAAAAGCAUAUGGCACUUUAUCACUGCUACUUAUUUCCAUGAUACAGCACUUUAUGAAACCUGUCCCCACUGGGUUGCUUUUAAUUACUCUGAUUUUAUCUGCUUGGAUUUUAAUGUAUUUCUCCAUUAUUUUAUUUUGUGUAUUGUUGGAAUUGUUUUAAGUUUAUGUUAAAUACGUUGUUGUUGUUCGGGCUUGUCCCUGUUGUGAGCCGCCCCGAGUCCCUUUGGGGAGAUGAGGUGGGAUAUAAAAAUAAAGAUGAUGAUGAUGAUUAUGAUGAUGAUGAUGAUUAUUAUUAUUAUUAUUAUUAUUAUUAUUAUUAUGGCCAUCCAGCCUCUGAUUAAUGAUUUCCAGAGAAUGGGACUCCACCAGACUCCCAGGCAAUCUGCAUUACACCAGAGUCAGAAGGGACCUCCAAAGGCCAUCCAGUCUAACGUAUGCCUCAGGUACCAAAAUGACCCAAAAUGCAGACUGUGCAAGGAAACCGACGAAACCAUUGAUCAUAUCCUCAGCUGCUGUAAGAAAAUCGCACAGACAGACUACAAACAGAGGCACAACUAUGUGGCCCAAAUGAUUCAUUGGAACUUAUGCCUCAAGUACCACCUCCCAGCAGCAAAGAACUAGUGGGAUCACAAACCUGCAAAAGUAUUGGAAAAUGAGCACGCAAAGAUACUGUGGGACUUCCGAAUCCAGACUGACAAAGUUCUGGAACACAACACACCAGACAUCACAGUUGUGGAAAAGAACAAGGUUUGGAUCAUUGAUGUUGCCAUCCCAGGUGACAGUCACAUAGAUGAAAAACAACAGGAAAAACUCAGCCGCUAUCAGGACCUCAAGAUUGAACUUCAAAGACUCUGGCAGAAACCAGUACAGGUGGUCCCGGUGGUGAUGGGCACACUGGGUGCCGUGCCAAAAGAUCUCAGCCGGCAUUUGGAAACAAUAGACAUUGACAAAAUUACGAUCUGCCAACUGCAAAAGGCCACCCGACUGGGAUCUGCACGCAUCAUCCGAAAAUACAUCACACAGUCCUAGACUCUUGGGAAGUGUUCGACUUGUGAUUUUGUGAAACGAAAUCCAGCAUAUCUAUCUUGUUUGCUGUGACAUAAUAAUAAUAAUAAUAAUAAUAAUAAUAAUAAUAAUAAUAAUAAUAAUAAUAAUAAAUAGCUAUGGUGGUGCAAUGGGUUAAACCCUCGUGCCGGCUGAACUGCUGAUCUGAAGGUUGAGUUGCUGACUUGAAGGUUGCCGGUUUGAAUCCGCAAGAUGGGGGUGAGCUCCCAUCUGUCAGCUCUAGCAUGAGAGAAGCCUCCCAGCAGGACAGUAACUCAUCCAGGCGUCCCGUGGGCAAUGUCUCUGUAGACGGCCAGUUCUCUCACACCAGAAGCAACUUGAAAUAUUUCUCAAGUAGCUUCUGACACUAAUAAUAAUAAUAAUAAUAAUAAUAGGAUAAUAAUCCAUCUGGAUGGUUUCUCAAAGAGACACAUUUAAGGUCACUCAUUUAAGGCAGGUCUUAAUUUGACGAUUUUCUCCUACCAUCAAGAUUAAAAUCAUAACCUUUUAGGUCAUUUAGUCCCCUCACCUUCACUCUUAAUGACAUCACCAGGGACAAUAUCUAAAUCUCAGCUUGAAACCUCAAGACUUGGGAGAAUUUUGAGCUCAAAACCUGUUUGAAGGCAAUACUCUUGCCCUGGGAUUCCUCCCUAUCUGGAGACUGGAAAUUCAAAGCCAAGUUUUGAAAUCUGACAGCUUACUGUAUAUACUUGAGUAUAAGCCUAGUUUUUCAGCCCUUUUUAGGGCUAAAAAAGCUCCCCUUGGCUUAUACCCGGUUGAGGGUCCUGGCCGGCUUCUAUUCAGGUCGGCUUAUACUUGAGUAUAUAGGUAUUCAGAGUUAUUAAAGUCUUAUUAUCUUAAAUUACGAUUUUAUGUAAAUAUUCAAAAUCUUUUAACCUACUGAUGCUUCAAUAUUGGUAUCUAUUUUUAUUUUUGAAAUUUACCCAUAGCUGCUGCAUUUUUCACCCUCGUCUUAUACUCUAAUCAAUAUAAAGUUAUUAUUAUCUUAAAUUACAGUUUUAUAUAAAUAUUCAAAAACAGUUAACCUACUGAUGCCUCAAAUAAUGCAAUUUUAUUAAUACAGUAGAGUCUCAAUUAUCCAAGCUAAACGGGCUGGCAGAACGUUGGAUAAGCGAAUAUGUUGGAUAAUAAGGAGAGAUUAAGGAGAAGCCUAUUCAACAUCAAAUUAAGUUAUGAUUUUACAAAUUAAGGACCAAAAACAUCAGGUUAUACAACAAAUUUGACAGAAAAAGUAGUUCAAUACGCAGUAAUGCUAUGUAGUAAUUACUGCAUUUACAAAUUUAGCACCAAAAUAUCAUGAUGUAUUGAAAACAUUGACUACAAAAAUGCGUUGGAUAAUCCAAAAUGUUGGAUAAGCGAGUGUUGGAUAAGUGAGUCUCUACUGUAGUUCAAUAUGCAGUAAUGCUAUGUAGUAAUUACUGUAUUUACGAAUUUAGCACCAAAAUAUCACGAUAUAUUGAAAACAUUGACUACAAAAAUGUGUUGGAUAAUCCAGAAGCUUGGAUAAGCAAGUGUUGGAUAAGUGAGACUCUACUGUAGUUCAAUAUGCAGUAAUGCUAUGUAGUAAUUACUGUAUUUACGAAUUUAGCACCAAAAUAUCACGAUAUAUUGAAAACAUUGACUACAAAAAUGUGUUGGAUAAUCCAGAAGCUUGGAUAAGCAAGUGUUGGAUAAGUGAGACUCUACUGUAGUUCAAUAUGCAGUAAUGCUAUGUAGUAAUUACUGUAUUUACGAAUUUAGCACCAAAAUAUCACGAUAUAUUGAAAACAUUGACUACAAAAAUGUGUUGGAUAAUCCAGAAGCUUGGAUAAGCAAGUGUUGGAUAAGUGAGACUCUACUGUAGUUCAAUAUGCAGUAAUGCUAUGUAGUAAUUACUGUAUUUAUGAAUUUAGCACCAAAAUAUCAACACAAAAAAAUGUGUUGGAUAAUCCAGAACGUUGGAUAAGCAAGUGUUGGAUAAGUGAGACUCUACUGUAGUUCAAUAUGCAGUAAUGCUAUGUAGUAAUUACUGUAUUUAUGAAUUUAGCACCAAAAUAUCACGAUGUAUUGAAAACAUUGACUACAAAAAUGCAUUGGAUAAUCCAGAAUGUUGGAUAAGCGAAUGUUGGAUAAGUGAGACUCUACUGUAUCUAUUUUUAUUUUUGAAUUUGAACCGUAGCUGCUCCUUUUCCCACCCCUGUCUUGUACUCGAAUCAAUAAGUUUUCCCAGUUUUUGUGGCGAGAUUAGGUGCUUAUAUUUGGGUCGGCUUAUCCUCGAGUAUAUACGGUAAUUUUUUGGGGGGGGGGAAUCAAUCUAUAACACUUUCUCGUGUUGACAUGUAAAGAAAACAAAGAGUUUUUAGAAGAAGGGACUUUGAAGGGAUGAUGAAAGAGGCUGUGUUCCUUGGCGGCUUUGGAGGUCCCAACAGACAUCAACGACAGCUGCUUGAGUGGGAAGGGGAUCAAGAGGAUUUAGUCGAAAGGAAAAGAAAUCUAAAUAAACAGAAGCAGAGAAAGAAUUUGGCUAUAAAAUCAACCCAGAAACUUCUCUGAAGCAACAGGGCUGCAGAUCCCUUGGAAGAUCCUAAUUUGAGCUGCCCUUUUGGGAGAUAAGACUGGAGCCCCCAGUGGCGUAGUGGAUUAAAGCCUUGUGACUUGAAGGUUGGUUUGCUGAUCUGAAUCCCACCUGGUUCGAACCCCACCCGGGAAGAGCGCAGAUGAGCUCCCUCUCUCAGCUCCAGCUCCAUGUGGGGACAUGAGAGAAGCCUCCCACAAGGAUGAUAAAAACAUCAAAACAUCUGGGCGUCCCCUGGGCAACGUCCUUGCAGACGGCCAAUUCUCUCACACCAGAAGCGACUUGCAGUUUCUCAAGUCGCUACUGACACGAAAAAAAAAUUGUCCACCUUCGAAAAGGAAUUAAAAACGUGGAUGCUCCGGUAUGCAUUUGAGUGAAUAGUCUCAAAUAGUUUACAAUUCCCAUUACAUUUUAUCCACGCUCCUUACUUUUGACUUUUUAGAUUCUCAGAUUUUUAGAUGAGACCGUCCUCCUUGCCCCUAUCCUGGAUUGUCCCUGUACAUCCCAUAAACCCUCCCUAGAGUCCUGCAUUAGUCACCCUCCACAUAUGCUGUACUUGAGGCCAGGUUUUAAAGUACCGUAUAUACUCAAGUUUAAGCUGACCCGAAUAUAAGCCAAGGCACCUAAUUUUACCACAAAAAAAAAACUGGGAAAACAUUGACUCCAGUAUAAGCCGAGGGUGGUAAAUUUCAGAAAUAAAAAGAGAUACCAAAAAAGUUACAUUAAUUGAGGCAUCAGUAGGUUAAAUGUUUUUGAAUAUUUACAUGAACUCAAAUUUAAAAUAAGACUGUCCAACUCUUAUCAAAUCAUGAUUCUCAUCUUCUUCAAUGUAAAUGUGCAUAUGUAUCCUAUUCAUAAUAAUAGAGUAAAAUAAUACAUGUAAUAAUAAUAAUAAUAAUAAUACUAAAUACAGGAAAAUAAUACAUGUAAUAAUAAAUAGAGUAAAAUAAUACAAGCAAUAAUAAUAAGAUCAGAGUGAAAUAAUAAAUGUAAUAAUAAUAAUAAUAAUAAUAAUAAUAGAGUAAAAUAAAUGCAAUAGUAGCAACAAUAAUAGAGAAAAAUAAUAAAUGUACCAUAUAUUCUCAAGUAUAAGCUGACCUAAAUAUAAGCCAACCAGGACCCUCACCCGAGUAUAAGCCAAGGCGGGCUUUUUCAGUCUUAAAAAAAGGGCUGAAAAACUAGGCUUAUACUCGAGUAUAUACAGUAAUUGCUGUGUUUUAUGCUGUUGUAUAUUUAUUUUGUUAAUAUUGUUUUAAUUCAGUUCAUGUACUGUGUUUUACUUCGGCCAACCUAGCAGUUUGAAAACAUGCCAAUGUGAAUAGAUCAAUAGGUACCGCUCUGGCGGGAUGGUAACGGUGCUCCAUGCAGCCACAUGACCUUGGAGGUGUCUACGGACAACGCCGGCUCUUGGGCUUAGGAAUGGAGAUGAGCACCAACCCCCAGAGUCAGACAUGACUGGACUUAACGUCAGGGGAAAGCUUUACCUUACUGUGUUUUAAUGAGCCCCGGUGGUGAAGUGUGUUAAAGCGCUGAGCUGCUGAACUUGCAGACCGAAAGGUCCCAGGUUCAAAUCCCGGGAGCGGAGUGAGCGCCUGCUGUUAGCUCCAGCUCCUGCCAACCUAGCAGUUUGAAAACAUGCCAAUGUGAGUAGAUCAAUAGGUACCGCUCCGGUGGGAAGGUAACAGCGCUCCAUGCAGUCAUGCUAGUGGCCACAUGAUCUUGGAGGUGUCUAUGGACAACGCCGGCUCUUUGGCUUAGAAAUGGAGAUGAGCACCAACCCCCAGAGUUGGACACGACUGGACUUAACGUCAGGGGAAACCUUUACUUUUUUUACUGUGGUUUAAACCUGUUAUAUGUUGGGCUUGUCCCCAUGUGAGCCACCCCAAGUCCCUCCGGGGAGAUGGUGGUGGGAUACAAGAAUAAAGUUAUUGUUAUUGUUAUUACAGUAGAGUCUCACUUAUCCAACAUAAACGGGCUGGCAGAAUGUUGGAUAUGCGAAUAUGUUGGAUAAUAAGGAGGGAUUAAGGAAAAGCCUAUUAAACAUCAAAUUAGGUUAUGAUUUUACAAAUUAAGCACCAAAACAUCAUGUUAUACAACAAAUUUGACAGAAAAGGUAGUUCAAUACGCAGUAAUGCUAUGUAGUAAUUACUUUAUUUACGAAUUUAGCACCAAAAUAUCACAAUGUAUUGAAAACAUUGACUACAAAAAUGCAUUGGAUAAUCCAGAACGUUGGAUAAGUGAGACUCUACUGUAUUAUUAUUAGGCAUAUUUUGGGAGGCAAUCAGAGAUCAAAAACGGCUUAGGUCUGCUGGGAAAAUGAUGGCUAUCUUUCCCUUCAUGCCUCCAGGUCCCAACUUUGUCCGCUUCCUGUUUAUUCUCAGGAAAACACUCGUUAAACAGAUUAAACAGAUUAAAACUAUUUUCAUCUCGGGAUGCCAUUCGCUCUGCUUCAUGCAUUCCCAGAACAAGGAGUCAUGCCUGUGUCUGCGGCUGUCAUGGCGGCUUGGGGAGCGUCUACAGAGACGUUGCCCAGAGGACGCCCGGAUGUAUUACUAUCCUGCUGGGAGGCUUCUUCUCAUGCUAGAGCUGACAGAUGGGAGCUCACCCCAUCUGUGGCUCCUCCGAGGCUUGUGGUCAGUCUGGGAGGCAAGCAAAGCUUUUGAAAGCCUUCAAUCUGCCAGGCAGGGCUGGAGCAGAAGCAUUUCGAAUGCUUGGAAGAACAACAGAAGCACCAGAUAAUAUUAUCAUUACAGUAGAGUCUCACUUAUCCAACAUUUGCUUAUCCAACAUUCUGGAUUAUCCAACGCAUUUUUGUAGUCAAUGUUUUCAAUACAUCGUGAUAUUUUGGUGCUAAAUACAGUCAUUACUACGUAGCAUUACUACAUAUCGAACUACUUUUUCUGUCAAAUGUGUUGUAUAACAUGAUGUUUUGGUGCUUAAUUUGUAAAAUCAUAACCUAAUUUGGUGUUCAAUGGGCUUCUUCUUAAUCUCUCCUUAUUAUCCAACACACAGUAGAGUCUCACUUAUCCAAGGUUCUGGAUUAUCCAAGCCAUUUUUGUAGUCAAUGUUUUCAAUAUAUUGUGAUAUUUUGGUGCUAAAUACAGUAAUUACUACAUAACAUUACUGCGUAUUGAACUACUUUUUCUGUCAAAUUUGUUGUAUAACAUGAUGUUUUGGUGCUUAAUUUAUAAAAUCAUAACCUAAUUUGAUGUUUAUUAGGGUUUUCCUUAAUCCCUCCUUAUUAUCCAAGAUAUUCGCUUAUCCAAGCUUCUGUCGGCCCAUUUAGCUUGGAUAAGUGAGACUCUAAUUUAAAAAUGUACAUAGAGGAAGCUAAUAGACUGAAGGCAAGGAGGAAACUGAUAUUAAUCUGGAACUUAUAAUAUUUUUAUAUGUACUAUUCAAAUAGAAGACUGUGACCCCUUAUUGAAAAUAUAUUGUCUGAGAAAUGAUUACGAAAGACUAAUAGAUGAAAGUAUUGCACUGUAUGCAACAAACACGUGCAAUGUAUGUUAUUUGAAUGAAUUAAAAUAAAUAAGCAUUUUAAAAAAAAUAAUGCAAAUCCCUGUUGAAAUAAAGGACAUCCAGCCCAAGAAUAGCAUAUAAAGUUGUGCAGGAAGACCUAGAAAAUGUCUUAGAGAAGACAUGUUGUUGGAAGUGGAUACAGUAGAGUCUCACUUAUCCAACGUUCUGGAUUAUCCAAUGCAUUUUUGUAGUCAAUGUUUUCAAGGCAUUGUGAUAUUUUGGUGCUAAAUUAUUAUUUUAUUGUUAUUUACAGUAUUUAUAUUCCGCCCUUCUCACCCUGAAGCGGACUCAGGGCGGAUCACAUUACACAUAUAAGGCAAACAUUCAAUGCCUUAACAUAGAACAAAGACAAACGCAGGCUCCAAGCUGGCCUCGAACUCAUGACCUCUUCGUCAGAGUGAUUUGUUGCAGCUGGCUGCAGCCGGCUGCUCACCAGCCUGUGCCACAGCCUGGGCCUAAAUUCAUAAAUACAGUAAAUACUACAUAGCAUUAUUGCGCAUUGAACUACUUUUUCUGUCAAAUUUGUUGUAUAACAUGAUGUUUUGGUGCUUAAUUUGUAAAAUCAUAUCCUAAUUUGAUGUUCAAUAGGCUUUUCCUUAAUCCCUCCUUAUUAUCCGGGCUGUGGCGCAGCUGGCUAGUAACCAGCUGCUAUAAAUCACUACUGACCGAGAGGUCAUGAGUUCGAAGCCCGGGUCGGGUUAAGCCUCCGACCAUAAAAAAAAUAUAUAGCCCCGGCUUGCUGUUGACCUAUCAGCCCCGAAAGACAGUUGCAUCUGUCAAGUAGGGAAAAUUUAGGUACGCUUUAUGCGGGAGGCUAAUUUAACUAAUCUACAACACCAUAAAACUGCUCACGAGGAAAAGAAGAGGAAGAACAGCCACCAAUGGACGGUGAAGCAACAGCUCCCCCUGUGGCCGGAAUCGUGAAGCUGGAAAGAUGUUAAAAAUGCCUCUGUGUCUGUCUAAAACUGAAUGUUGUUUGUCUGUUGGCACUGAAUGUUUGCCAUAUAUGUGUUCAUUGUAAUCCGUCCUGAGUCCCCUUCGGGGUGAGAAGGGUGGAAUAUAA